rnacentral:ncRNA from 1 species
GGUUAAGUUAUUAAGGGCGUAUGGUGGAUGCCUUGGCACUAGGAGCCGAUGAAGGACGUGACUAACUGCGAUAUGCUUCGGGGAGUUGUAAGUAAACUGUGAUCCGGAGAUUUCCGAAUGGGGAAACCCAGCAGGUUUUACCGCCUGUUAUCGCUAAGUGAAUUCAUAGCUUAGUUGAAGGUAGACGUGGGGAACUGAAACAUCUAAGUACCCACAGGAAGAGAAAGAAAUUCGAUUCCCUCAGUAGCGGCGAGCGAACAGGGAAGAGCCCAAACCAAGAAGCUUGCUUCUUGGGGUUGUAGGACUGAACAUUUGAGUUACCAAGAAACGAAGUAGCUGAAUAACCUGGGAAGGUUAGCCAAAGAGAGUGAUAGCCUCGUAAGCGAAACUUCGUUUCCUCAGUUCAGGAUCCUGAGUACGGCGGGACACGUGAAACCCCGUCGGAAUCCGGGAGGACCAUCUCCCAAGGCUAAAUACUACCUAGUGACCGAUAGUGAACCAGUACCGUGAGGGAAAGGUGAAAAGCACCCCGGGAGGGGAGUGAAAUAGUUCCUGAAACCAUAUGCCUACAAGUAGUCAGAGCUCGUUAAUGAGUGAUGGCGUGCCUUUUGUAGAAUGAACCGGCGAGUUACGUUAGCAUGCGAGGUUAAGGUGGAAAGACCGGAGCCGUAGCGAAAGCGAGUCUGAAUAGGGCGCUUUAGUAUGUUGACGUAGACCCGAAACCAGGUGACCUACCCAUGUCCAGGUUGAAGGUGCGGUAAAACGCACUGGAGGACCGAACCCGUGUAUGUUGAAAAAUGCUGGGAUGAGGUGUGGGUAGAGGUGAAAUUCCAAACGAACUUGGAGAUAGCUGGUUCUCUCCGAAAUAGCUUUAGGGCUAGCCUCGGAGUUGAGAAUCGUGGAGGUAGAGCACUGUUUGGACUAGGGGCCCAUCUAGGGUUACUGAAUUCAGAUAAACUCCGAAUGCCACUGAUUUAUAUCCGGGAGUCAGACUGCGAGUGAUAAGAUCCGUAGUCGAAAGGGAAACAGCCCAGACCACCGAUUAAGGUCCCUAAAUAUGUGUUAAGUGGAAAAGGAUGUGGAAUUGCACAGACAACUAGGAUGUUGGCUUAGAAGCAGCCACCAUUUAAAGAGUGCGUAAUAGCUCACUAGUCGAGUGAUCCUGCGCCGAAAAUGUAACGGGGCUAAACACAUUACCGAAAUCGUGGAUGUACCGUAAGGUACAUGGUAGGAGAGCGUUCUAAGGGCGACGAAGCUAGACCGUAAGGACUGGUGGAGCGCUUAGAAGUGAGAAUGCCGGUAUGAGUAGCGAAAGACCAGUGAGAAUCUGGUCCACCGUAUGACUAAGGUUUCCUGGGGAAGGCUCGUCCUCCCAGGGUUAGUCGGGACCUAAGCCGAGGCCGAGAGGCGUAGGCGAUGGAUAACAGGUUGAGAUUCCUGUACUAGUUAAACUUGUUUGAACAAUGGAGGGACGCAGGAGGCUAAAGAUGCGCACUGUUGGAUAUGUGCGUCCAAGCAAUAAGUCUUUGAAAGAGUCAAAUGCUUUUUCAUCUAAGGACAAGUUGUGAUGGGGAGCGAAAUUAAAGUAGCGAAGUGAUUGA